GAGAGGUGGCCGAGUGGUCGAAGGCGAUUGAUUCGAAAUUAAUUGUGCUCGUGAGGGUACCGGGGGUUCGAAUCCCUCCCUCUC
rnacentral:tRNA from 1 species